GACAGAGGGGGCAAGCGUUGCUCGGAAUCACUGGGCGUAAAGGGCGCGUAGGCGGUUCGGCAAGUCGGUCGUGAAAUCCUUCGGCUCAACCGAAGAACGUCGGCCGAUACUGCCGUUCUUGAGGGAUGCGGAGGAGAUUGGAAUUCCCGGUGUAGCGGUGAAAUGUGUAGAGAUCGGGAGGAACACCGGUGGCGAAGGCGGGUCUCUGGGCCACUACUGACGCUGAGAAGCGAAAGCACGGGGAGCGAACAGG
rnacentral:rRNA from 1 species